UACGAAGGGGACUAGCGUUGUUCGGAAUUACUGGGCGUAAAGCGCACGUAGGCGGAUUUGUUAGUCAGGGGUGAAAUCCCGGGGCUCAACCUCGGAACUGCCUUUGAUACUGCAAGUCUCGAGUCCGAUAGAGGUGGGUGGAAUUCCUAGUGUAGAGGUGAAAUUCGUAGAUAUUAGGAAGAACACCGGUGGCGAAGGCGGCCCACUGGAUCGGUAUUGACGCUGAGGCGCGAAAGCCAGGGGAGCAAACGGG
rnacentral:rRNA from 1 species